rnacentral:tRNA from 1 species
GCUGCAGCUCAGUGGCAGAGCACUUGCCUAGCAUGCGUGAGGCACUGGGUUUGAUCCUCAGCACAACA